UGAGUUCCCUCUUGAACUCUUCCCAAGUAUCGAUUCGGCAAAUGCCUUUCUCGAUAUCGGCGUGCUUUCUACGCCACCAUAACAUUGCUGUAUCGGAAAGAUAAAGGGAAGAAGUUCUUACCUUAGUCGUCUCGUCGACUAGACCGAUACCCUCGAAAUAUUGCUCCAUCCUCCAUAGGAAGUUCUCAACUUCCUUGGCGUCCCUUACGCCGUUGAAUCCCGUUGGCUUCGGGCAGUCCACCCUUGGACUUGAAGUAGCACCAACGCUACCGUUAGCGGCGGCCUUUUUGCACAAGGCCAAGUCGUCGCGCAUCCCCUCGAUGCUCUCUUGGAGGGAUUGGAUGAUGGCCUCCAAUCGAUCCAACCGUUCCUCCCGCAACGUCUCA
rnacentral:lncRNA from 1 species